rnacentral:misc_RNA from 1 species
UCUCCGUUGGUGAACCAGCGGAGGGAUCAUUAUAGAGUUACCAAAACUCCCAACCCAUGUGAACUUACCAUUGUUGCCUCGGUGGACCUACCCGGAAUGGGCUACCCGGAGCGAGUUACCCUGUAGCGAGCUACCCGGAACGGUCUACCUGGAGCGUGGGCCCGCCGGUGGAAUUUUCAACUCUUGUUAUUAUAGUGAAUCUGAGCGUCUUAUUUAAUAAGUUAAAACUUUCAACAACGGAUCUCUUGGUUCUGGCAUCGAUGAAGAACGCAGC